AACAAACGCUGGCGGUGUGCCUAAUACAUGCAAGUCGAACGGGGAAAGCUUUCGGGUGAGUACUAGUGGCGCACGGGUGAGUAACGCGUGGAUAAUCUGCCCUCGAAUGGGGAAUAACUAGUCGAAAGAUUAGCUAAUACCGCAUAAGACCACGACUACUGAGGUAGUUGGGGUCAAAGGAGCAAUUCGUUUGAGGAUGAGUCCGCGUAAGAUUAGCUAGUUGGUGAGGUAAUGGCUCACCAAGGCGACGAUCUUUAACUGGUCUGAGAGGAUGAUCAGUCACACUGGAACUGAGACACGGUCCAGACUCCUACGGGAGGCAGCAGUAGGGAAUAUUGGACAAUGGGGGCAACCCUGAUCCAGCGACGCCGCGUGAGCGAUGAAGGCCUUCGGGUCGUAAAGCUCUGUUGUAAGGGAAAAAGUUCUGAUUGUACCUUACGAGAAAGGAUCGGCUAACUUCGUGCCAGCCGCCGCAGUAA
rnacentral:rRNA from 1 species